AGGGUUUGAUUCUGGCUCAGGAUGAACGCUGGCGGCGUGCUUAACACAUGCAAGUCGAGCGAAGCAGUUAAGUUGAUUUCUUCGGAUUGAUUCUUAACUGACUGAGCGGCGGACGGGUGAGUAACGCGUGGGUGACCUGCCCCAUACCGGGGGAUAACAGCUGGAAACGGCUGCUAAUACCGCAUAAGCGCACAGAGCUGCAUGGCUCGGUGUGAAAAACUCCGGUGGUAUGGGAUGGGCCCGCGUCUGAUUAGGCAGUUGGCGGGGUAACGGCCCACCAAACCGACGAUCAGUAGCCGGCCUGAGAGGGCGACCGGCCACAUUGGGACUGAGACACGGCCCAA
rnacentral:rRNA from 1 species